rnacentral:rRNA from 1 species
AUUGAACGCUGGCGGCAGGCCUAACACAUGAAAGUCGAACGACUGGCGGACGGGUGAGUAAUGUCUGGGAAACUGCCUGAUGGAGGGGGAUAACUACUGGAAACGGUAGCUAAUACCGCAUACCAUCAGAUGUGCCCAGAUGGGAUUAGCUAGUUGGGGGGGUAACGGCUCACCAAGGCGACGAUCCCUAGCUGGUCUGAGAGGAUGACCAGCCACACUGGAGCUGAGCCACGGUCCAGACUCCUACGGGAGGCAGCAUUGGGGAAUAUUGACCCAUGGGCGCAAGCCUGAUGCAGCCAUGCCGCGUGUAUGAAGAAGGCCUUCGGGUUGUAAAGUACUUUCAGCGGGGAGGCGUUACCCGCAGAAGAAGCACCGGCUAACUCCGUGCCAGCAGCCGCGGUAAUUC